rnacentral:rRNA from 1 species
ACCUGCGGAAGGAUCAUUGUCGAGACUAAAAAUUAAUAGUCGAAUGGUGCGAGAUCUAAUUGCGCGUAAUAAUGGGACGCCCAAAGUACGAAUUGUACCAAGGAUUUUUAUUGUACGACGAAAUCACAGUUUCUAGCAUAAAAUUGGGAUCAAAAUGGCGUUUAUUAUUACGACUCUGGGCAAUGGAUAUCUUGGCUCUCUCUUCGAUGAAGAACGUAGCAAAAUACGAUACUUGAUGUGAAUUGUAGAAUCCCGUGAAUCAUCGAGUUUUUUAACACAAGUUGUGCCAAUGGCCUUUUGGUUAAUGGCUUGCUUGCCUGGGCAUCAUGCUUUGCAAUGCUGUAAAGCCAUCUCGGCUAAAGUCAUAGUUGGCCUUCUACUAUACUGUAAGAGAGAUGUAGUGGGCUAAAUCUUACACGAUUGGAUUAUUUAUUGGUAUGCACAAAAUUUGGUGGACUCCAUGGCGCACUUUCAUAGACUGUAGUCUCAUCUUUGUGCAUAAUUUGCAUAGCGAUCGUUAAAAUAUCUAGAUGUUCAUAUUUACAUUUUGACCCCAGGCUAGGCAGGGACACCCGCCGAGCUUAAGCAUAUCAAA